rnacentral:ncRNA from 1 species
GAUAUGGGAAUGAAGUUCUCCCAUGGGCAACCUAAACCGCUUAUUAAGCUGAUGACUUCUG